rnacentral:rRNA from 1 species
UACGCAGGGGGCUAGCGUUGCUCGGAAUUACUGGGCGUAAAGCGCACGUAGGCGGCUUCUUAAGUCGGAGGUGAAAUCCUGGAGCUCAACUCCAGAACUGCCUUCGAUACUGGGAAGCUCGAGUCCGGGAGAGGUGAGUGGAACUGCGAGUGUAGAGGUGAAAUUCGUAGAUAUUCGCAAGAACACCAGUGGCGAAGGCGGCUCACUGGCCCGGUACUGACGCUGAGGUGCGAAAGCGUGGGGAGCAAACAGG